rnacentral:rRNA from 1 species
UGAGGGAUAGCCUUUGGAAACGAAGAUUAAUACCUCAUAGUAUGAUGACUUGGCAUCAAGAUAUCAUUAAAGGUUACGGUACAAGAUGACUAUGCGUUCUAUUAGCUAGAUGGUAAGGUAACGGCUUACCAUGGCAACGAUAGAUAGGGGCCCUGAGAGGGGGAUCCCCCACACUGGUACUGAGACACGGACCAGACUCCUACGGGAGGCAGCAGUGAGGAAUAUUGGACAAUGGAGGCAACUCUGAUCCAGCCAUGCCGCGUGCAGGAUGACUGCCCUAUGGGUUGUAAACUGCUUUUAUACAGGAAGAAACACUGCUACGUGUAGCAGCUUGACGGUACUGUAAGAAUAAGGAUCGGCUAACUCCGUGCCAGCAGCCGCGGUAAUACGGAGGAUCCAAGCGUUAUCCGGAAUCAUUGGGUUUAAAGGGUCCGUAGGUGGAUAAUUAAGUCAGAGGUGAAAUCCUGCAGCUCAACUGUAGAAUUGCCUUUGAUACUGGUUAUCUUGAGUUAUUAUGAAGUAGUUAGAAUAUGUAGUGUAGCGGUGAAAUGCAUAGAUAUUACAUAGAAUACCAAUUGCGAAGGCAGAUUACUAAUAAUCAACUGACACUGAUGGACGAAAGCGUGGGGAGCGAACAGGAUUAGAUACCCUGGUAGUCCACGCCGUAAACGAUGGUCACUAGCUGUUCGAACUUCGGUUUGAGUGGCUAAGCGAAAGUGAUAAGUGACCCACCUGGGGAGUACGUUCGCAAGAAUGAAACUCAAAGGAAUUGACGGGGGCCCGCACAAGCGGUGGAGCAUGUGGUUUAAUUCGAUGAUACGCGAGGAACCUUACCAGGGCUUAAAUGUAGUGUGACAGGACUAGAGAUAGUUUUUUCUUCGGACACAUUACAAGGUGCUGCAUGGUUGUCGUCAGCUCGUGCCGUGAGGUGUCAGGUUAAGUCCUAUAACGAGCGCAACCCCUGUUGUUAGUUGCCAGCGAGUCAUGUCGGGAACUCUAGCAAGACUGCCAGUGCAAACUGUGAGGAAGGUGGGGAUGACGUCAAAUCAUCACGGCCCUUACGUCCUGGGCUACACACGUGCUACAAUGGUAGGGACAGAGAGCAGCCACUGGGCGACCAGGAGCGAAUCUAUAAACCCUAUCACAGUUCGGAUCGGAGUCUGCAACU